ensembl:snoRNA
CAGAUCAGUGAUGAUGUCUGAUGACCCAGGAGUCUUAUACGAUGAAUGCCACAUGUCUGGAAGUCUGAGGUCCAA